rnacentral:rRNA from 1 species
AGUGAACGCUGGCGGUAGGCCUAACACAUGCAAGUCGAACGGCAGCACAGUAAGAGCUUGCUCUUACGGGUGGCGAGUGGCGGACGGGUGAGGAAUACAUCGGAAUCUACUUUUUCGUGGGGGAUAACGUAGGGAAACUUACGCUAAUACCGCAUACGACCUACGGGUGAAAGCAGGGGAUCUUCGGACCUUGCGCGAUUGAAUGAGCCGAUGUCGGAUUAGCUAGUUGGCGGGGUAAGGGCCCACCAAGGCGACGAUCCGUAGCUGGUCUGAGAGGAUGAUCAGCCACACUGGAACUGAGACACGGUCCAGUCUCCUACGGGAGGCAGCAGUGGGGAAUAUUGGACAAUGGGCGCAAGCCUGAUCCAGCCAUACCGCGUGGGUGAAGAAGGCCUUCGGGUUGUAAAGCCCUUUUGUUGGGAAAGAAAAGCAGCAGGUUAAUACCCCGCUGUUCUGACGGUACCCAAAGAAUAAGCACCGGCUAACUUCGUG